GCAAUGCACGAAAGUGUGACGGGGCUACCCCGAGUGCCUUCCGCUGAGGAAGGCUUUUCCUUGGUGUAACUAGCCGGGGGAAUAAGGAGAGGGCAAGACUGGUGUCAGCCGCCGCGGUAAUACCAGCUCUCCGGGUGGUAGGGAUGAUUAUUGGGCUUAAAGCGUCCGUAGCCUGCUUAGCAAGUUUCCUGUUAAACUCAGCGACCUAAUCGUUGAGCCGCGGGAAAUACUACUAGGCUAGGAGGCGGGAGAGGUCGACGGUACUUCUGGGGUAGGGGUGAAAUCCUAUAAUCCCGGGAGGACCACCAGUGGCGAAGGCUGUCGACUAGAACGCGCUCGACGGUGAGGGACGAAAGCUGGGGGAGCGAACCGGAUUAGAUACCCGGGUAGUCCCAGCUGUAAACGAUGCAGGCUAGGUGUUUGGGCGGCCACGAGCCGCCCUAGUGCCGCAGGGAAGCUGUUAAGCCUGCCGCCUGGGGAGUACGGCCGCAAGGCUGAAACUUUA
rnacentral:rRNA from 1 species